GACGAACGCUGGCGGCGUGCCUAAUACAUGCAAGUAGAACGCUGAAGGAGGAGCUUGCUUCUCUGGAUGAGUUGCGAACGGGUGAGUAACGCGUAGGUAACCUGCCUGGUAGCGGGGGAUAACUAUUGGAAACGAUAGCUAAUACCGCAUAACAGUAGAUAUCGCAUGAUAUCUACUUGAAAGGUGCAAUUGCAUCACUACCAGAUGGACCUGCGUUGUAUUAGCUAGUUGGUGAGGUAACGGCUCACCAAGGCGACGAUACAUAGCCGACCUGAGAGGGUGAUCGGCCACACUGGGACUGAGACACGGCCCAGACUCCUACGGGAGGCAGCAGUAGGGAAGCUUCGGCAAUGGACGGAAGUCUGACCGAGCAACGCCGCGUGAGUGAAGAAGGUUUUCGGAUCGUAAAGCUCUGUUGUAAGAGAAGAACGAGUGUGAGAGUGGAAAGUUCACACUGUGACGGUACCUUACCAGAAAGGGACGGCUAACUACGUG
rnacentral:rRNA from 1 species